rnacentral:rRNA from 1 species
GACGAACGCUGGCGGCGUGCCUAAUACAUGCAAGUAGAACGCUGAAACUUGGUGCUUGCACCGAGCGGAUGAGUUGCGAACGGGUGAGUAACGCGUAGGUAACCUGCCUGGUAGCGGGGGAUAACUAUUGGAAACGAUAGCUAAUACCGCAUAAGAGUAGAUGUUGCAUGACAUUUGCUUAAAAGGCGCAAUUGCACCACUACCAGAUGGACCUGCGUUGUAUUAGCUAGUUGGUGGGGUAACGGCUCACCAAGGCGACGAUACAUAGCCGACCGGAGAGGGUGAUCGGCCACACUGGGACUGGGACAGGGCCCAGUCUCCUAAGGGAGGCAGCAGUAGGGAGUCUUCGGCAAUGGGCGGAAGUCUGACCGGGCAACGCCGAGUGAGUGAAGAAGGUUUUCGGAUCGUAAAGCUCUGUUGUAAGAGAAGAACGAGUGUGAGAGUGGAAAGUUCACACUGUGACGGUAUCUUACAAGAAAGGGACGGCUAACUACGUG